ensembl:lncRNA
GGAAGAUCGACUCGUCGUCAGAGGGCGGCGUGCGCACCGCGACUUCCUGCUGAGAACCUCGCCGCCAGGGGUCCGCGCGCAUCCUGUCGCUGUCGCUGUCGCUCGUCGCAUCAUGGACGCGAAGCACAAGCCGCCGACCGACCCUGAGCGGAGCGGUGGCCGGAGGCGGCGUGGAAGCGGGGUGUUCGGGAGGGACGCGGCGCGGCUGGACCGGAGGCUCUCCGCCUCUCAGCCCGACCUGCGCGCCCCUCGGCCGGUGCCCGAGGAGACGCCCGGAGAGGUGGAGGAUGUUGGGGAGUCGCAGGGCAGCCAGGCGUCCGCCGGCUCGGUGUCCCACGAUGCCACCCAGGAUGCAGAGGACAAACGACUGACGGACGGAGACCUGGGCAAGAGGCCUGUCCACUCUCGGAGUCUCACACUGUGGCCGUGGGUGCGGAGCUUUGUGCGGGCCGACUGUUCCAUGGCGAUCUGGACUGCAUAGGGGAGG